UGUAGUUUUGGACAUCUUUGGGGGAGGGAGGCUUGUGUUGGUGUGGGGUAUAAAAAAAAGUUAAAUCACAAAAAUACUGAACUCCGAGGAAAAUCCAAAACGGAAAGUCCCUAAUCAAAGGGCAAAAUCAAAAGCACAAACACAUCAAACGAAUGGACAACAACUGUCAUAUUCCUGACUUGUUACAGGCAAUUUCUUAUGUAGAAAAUGGUGGAUUGAACCUGGUUUUAUGUGAGCCUGAUUAAUGCUGUAGGGAACAAAUUAGCUGAAAGAUAUACAGAUUUCUGGAAAAAUAGUCUUUUUAAUGACCAAGUUAACCCUAAUGGAAACAAACUAAGAACAUACAGAAAAUAAAAAAAAUGAUUACAAAUUUGAAAAUUUUUUAUUAAUAGAUUUAGACUGAUACAUGAUAUCUAAUUUUAUUAAAAUCAGAAUAAGUAAUACUAAUAGUAAUCUAAAUAUUGUACAGGGUCAAGACACCGUAAAAUUACCUCUGGAAACAAGAUUUAUGUCCCCUCUGUAAAAAUGGGGUUGAAGAUGAAUAUCAUUUUGCUUAAAAAUGUCAAAUUUUAGAAAAACGUAGGCAAAAACUUUUUCAGGAAGUAGAUAGUAUAGGUCCAUCUUUCAACAAAAUGUCUGAUGAGGAAAAAUUUACAUUCAUGUUUACAUUUAAUGAGUACGACAUAACUAAAAUUAUUGUUAAGGGGUUAAUGAUUUAUAUGUACUAAGAAAUAGCCUAGCUGAUGAUUUAUAUGUACUAAGAAAUAGCCUAGCUGAUGAUUUAUAUGUACUAAGAAAUAGCCUGCUGACAAGAAAAACUAAUUAUGUAAUACAAAUUUGUGAUUAUUUUCUAUUUUUCAUAUAUAUUUGUUAUGUUAUAUUUUAUAAGAAUAGCAUUAAGAAUAUUGUAUUUUUACUUUCAAAUUUGCAAAAGUAUCACCUCCUCCAAAAUAUCUAAACAAACGAGAUACUUAUAUAAUAUGAAUGUUGCUUUAAUUUAAAUAUUGUAUAUUUGUAAAUAUUGUCAUGUUUGUCUUGGUAACAAUCCAAUAUUUGGAUUUUACACCAAUAAAAUGAUUUGAUUUGAUUUGAUUUGAUUUGUGAGCUUGCUAUAUUAAGGUUAAGUGUAGGUGUGUAUGAUAUAGAUAUGAGGUCCAUGCACUAGGUAUUAAUUUGUCGUUCUCUUUGUAUAGAUAUGAGGUCUAUAUACUAGGUAUUAAUCUGUUGUUCUCUUUGUAUAGAUAUGAGGUCCAUACACUAGGUAUUAAUCUGUUGUUCUCUUUGUAUAAAUAUGAGGUCCAUACACUAGGUAUUAAUCUGUCGUUCUCUCUUUGUAUAGAUAUGAGGUCCAUACACUAGGUAUUAAUCUGUUGUUCUCUCUUUGUAUAGAUAUGAGAUCCAUACACUAGGUAUUAAUCUGUUGUUCUCUUUGUAUAAAUAUGAGGUCCAUACACUAGGUAUUAAUCUGUCAUUCUCUUUGUAUAAAUAUGAGGUCCAUACACUAGGUAUUAAUCUGUCUUUCUCUCUUUGUAUAGAUAUGAGGUCCAUACACUAGGUAUUAAUCUGUUGUUCUCUUUGUAUAAAUAUGAGGUCCAUACACUAGGUAUUAAUCUGUCUUUCUCUUUGUAUAGAUAUGAGGUCUAUACACUAGGUAUUAAUCUGUCGUUCUCUUUGUAUAGAUAUGAGGUCUAUAUACUAGGUAUUAAUCUGUCGUUCUCUCUUUGUAUAGAUAUGAGGUCCAUACACUAGGUAUUAAUCUGUUGUUCUCUUUGUAUAAAUAUGAGGUCCAUACACUAGGUAUUAAUCUGUCGUUCUCUCUUUGUAUAGAUAUGAGGUCUAUAUACUAGGUAUUAAUCUGUCGUUCUCUUUGUAUAGAUAUGAGGUCCAUACACUAGGUAUUAAUCUGUCGUUCUCUCUUUGUAUAGAUAUGAGAUCCAUACACUAGGUAUUAAUCUGUUGUUCUCUUUGUAUAAAUAUGAGGUCCAUACACUAGGUAUUAAUCUGUCGUUCUCUUUGUAUAGAUAUGAGGUCCAUACACUAGGUUUUAAUCUGUCGUUCUCUUUGUAUAGAUAUGAGGUCCAUACACUAGGUAUUAAUCUGUCGUUCUCUUUGUAUAGAUAUGAGGUCUAUAUACUAGGUAUUAAUCUGUCGUUCUCUUUGUAUAAAUAUGAGGUCUAUAUACUAGGUAUUAAUCUGUCAUUCUCUUUGUAUAGAUAUGAGGUCCAUAUGCUAGGUGUUAAUCUCAUUCUCUUUGCAGAAAUUCUCUCAGGAUUUUCUCUUGGUCUACAGAUUUUUUUUGUCUCCUCUGAAAUGUAAUGGUUGCUUCAAAUGUUAAUGAAUUUGUAUGGGUUAAUUGUAUGUAUUCUGGGGGAUGUAGAGUAGUGGUUGAGUAUUUGUCAAUUUUUGCUUUUUGAUGCUUAUUUUUUGUUAACUUAUAUUGUUGGGUAGCUGUCUCAUUUAGUGUUCACUCCACAUCUUCUUUUAUUUUAUAUGUUUAUUUUCUUGUGAGUCUUGUGUAGGAAUUACAUUAAUUUAUUGAAAUAAAUGCACAAUUAUACCCCAAUGGAGUUGAUGGCAUACAUGAAAUUUAACAAAAUAAUACAGUACAUAAUACAUCACAAAAGUAAUAGAAUACAAGACAUGAAUUUUAUAUAUGUACAUAUUAUGCAGUUGUCGAAUCCACUCUCCUCGGUGACCAGGACUUUUUAAUAAAUGGAGAAAAAUUAACCGCAUAACUGAAGGACAUGAACUAGACAUAAAACUAAUUUAUCAAAGUUAUCCAUAUCAUCUAUAUUUGAAUAGAUAUUUUUAAUUUUCUGUAAGAAUUCAAGUCUCAAGUUUUCAUUUUGUGUACAUUUAAAUAAGAAAUGAUCUUCAUCAUCUAUUUUAUUUAAAGAACAAUUUUGACAUAAACAAAUAGCAUUAUUUGUGUUCUAAUACUAUUAGAACCCUUUUUUAUCUGUCUAAAAAUUUACCAGACAACGAUCACAUUAACAACACUCUGAUGUGUUGAUCAAACCUAUCAUUUACACAUCAACUUAAUUUCUAUAUAAGAAAGUAAUUUGAUUGUUAUUUUUUAUAAGAUAGCACAUUGAUGUAAAUUUUAUAUUAAAUUUUUACUUUUAAAAGUCUUUUGUUAAUAUUUUGUU